UUCCCAGGUUCGUACCGGGAACUUAGUGGCAGACGGGUGAGUAACACGUAAACAACCUGCCCUCAAAAGGGGGAUAACCUGACGAAAGUCGGACUAAUACCCCAUAUAACCCCCUCGGAGCAUUUCGAGGGGAUGAAAGGCCCGCAAGGGUCGAUUGAGGAGGGGUUUGCGGCCUAUCAGCUAGUUGGCGGUGUAAUGGACCACCAAGGCAACGACGGGUAGCCGAUCUAAAAGGAUGACCGGCCACAAGGGCACUGAGACACGGGCCCUACUCC
rnacentral:rRNA from 1 species